UCACCAGUGUGGAUGAUCUUGUGUCUUUCCAGGUUACCGAUACUGUUGAAGAUUCGGCCACAUAUUUCACAGGGAUGGAUAUACCUUUGCGGGACAAAAAUUUGCAUUCUACUAUAUUGAAGCAACUCUGAAAGGGAAGUAAUGAUAAUAUGCUUACUUCUGCACAGCGGGGUCAGGGAGUUGCUCCCUGUGGAUGACCAGAUAUUCUCGACCCUUGGCGAACGACAUCUGCGUACGCGGCAAAAAGGGCCCAUUUGAAUUCAUGUGGGGAUCACAUUGGCAUGUUGAAAGCCUACCUGACAUUUCUUGCAGUGAUACUUGUGGUGCUCUGGGUCAUCUUCAUCUUCUUCAUCUUCAUCCCUUUCGUCACUAUCGGCUGUUGGAAUGCCGAUCUUUUUAAUGAAGUCCUCCCUCUUCUGCUCAUCCAUUACGGCUAUAUCCUGCAAUGAGGAGAAGCUGAUAUUGAGACGUUUGCAAAAAUGUCAUUAUUUUAAUAGCAUUGUCAUUUUAAUCACUGUUAAUUUACUUUUUUAACAAUUCAAUAUUGCUGGAGAUUAUUUUAGUUAUCUAUGAUGAGAGCUAAAAUACCAUCUAUCAUCUAUGCCUGAUUAAUUAUUUUUUAUUAAUUAUUUCUCCUCUUCAUCAUCUAAAUAAGAAGUCAAAGUCACUUGUGAGGCUGCAAACGGACUAGCGACGAAUGCCUGACCUUGAAGUGAACGUGAAUGUGAUCGCGAAGCACGUCCACUCGGAAGAACUUGCGGCCGCAGAUCUCGCAGGUGUACUUUUUAUCGCCGUGAGUCAGCAGAUGUUUGUUCAUGUUACUUCGGCAGGAGAACACCUGUUCACACACACACGUGAAAAUAAUGCUCAAACAUCUGCCAUCUUGUGCUAGUGCUGGAAAAGCAAGGCAGAAAAAGCUCGCCUUUCCACAGAUGGGACACGGUGAUGGUUCUUUUCUGUACUUGCACGCUUCUUCUCCAUUGGUCUCCAACUCCUCUCGCUUCAUGUGCUUUUGCCCUGUUUAAACGACAUGUGGCUUAGCGAAAACCCUGAAGCUCUCGACAAUAAUAGGAAUUUCCUGGGUAAACAGCGAUAACGUAAUUCCUUUGUUGGCAUUGUUCAGCUGUGAGCAGACAGGUAUUAAAACAGCAGGUGUGCCGAGUCACUAUGUUCUCACCAACGCUGUGCCUCCUGUGGUGCUCCUGCAUGACGUCUUUGCGAUAGAACAUCUUGUUACAGAUUUCACAGGAGUAGAGCUUCUCUCCGUGUUUCUUCUUGUGCUUGGACAGGUUGCUGUUUGUGGAGAAGAAGCGGGAGCAGAUAUCGCACUGGAAUGUCUUGUCGUCUGGCGGGAAAAGAAAAAUACAUUUUAUUUCGAUGUGUCAAACAAAAUGUAA